UACGUAGGUGGCGAGCGUUGUCCGGAUUUACUGGGCGUAAAGGGCGUGCAGGCGGUUUGUUAAGUGCAGGGUGAAAGCUCCCGGCUCAACUGGGAGAGGUCCUUGCAUACUGGCGAACUCGAGGGAGGCAGAGGAAAGUGGAAUUCCUGGUGUAGCGGUGAAAUGCGUAGAUACCAGGAGGAACACCGGUGGCGAAGGCGGCUCCUGGCCGAGUACUGACGCUGAGGCACGAAAGCGUGGGGAGCGAACGGG
rnacentral:rRNA from 1 species